rnacentral:rRNA from 1 species
UACGAAGGGGGCUAGCGUUGUUCGGAAUUACUGGGCGUAAAGGGCGCGUAGGCGGCCUCGUCCGUCCGGCGUGAAAUGCCUGGGCUCAACCUAGGAAUUGCGCUCGAUACAGCGAGGCUAGAGUGUGGGAGAGGUUGGUGGAAUUCCCAGUGUAGAGGUGAAAUUCGUAGAGAUUGGGAAGAACACCAGUGGCGAAGGCGGCUAUCUGGACGGUUUCUGACGCUAAGACGCGAAAGCGUGGGGAGCAAACAGG